AGCGUACACGGUGGAUGCCCUGGCAGUCAGAGGCGAUGAAGGACGUGCUAAUCUGCGAUAAGCGUCGGUAAGGUGAUAUGAACCGUUAUAACCGGCGAUUUCCGAAUGGGGAAACCCAGUGUGWUUCGWYACACUAUCAUUAACUGAAUCCAUAGGUUAAUGAGGCGAACCGGGGGAACUGAAACAUCUAAGUACCCCGAGGAAAAGAAAUCAACCGAGAUUCCCCCAGUAGCGGCGAGCGAACGGGGAGSAGCCCAGAGCCUGAAUCAGUGUGUGUGUUAGUGGAAGCGUCUGGAAAGGCGCGCGAUACAGGGUGACAGCCCCGUACACAAAAAURCACAUAYUGUGAGCUCGAUGAGUAGGGCGGGACACGUGGUAUCCUGUCUGAAUAUGGGGGGACCAUCCUCCAAGGCUAAAUACUCCUGACUGACCGAUAGUGAACCAGUACCGUGAGGGAAAGGCGAAAAGAACCCCGGCGAGGGGAGUGAAAAAGAACCUGAAACCGUGUACGUACAAGCAGUGGGAGCACGCUUAGGCGUGUGACUGCGUACCUUUUGUAUAAUGGGUCAGCGACUUAUAUUCUGUAGCAAGGUUAACCGAAUAGGGGAGCCGAAGGGAAACCGAGUCUUAACUGGGCGUUAAGUUGCAGGGUAUAGACCCGAAACCCGGUGAUCUAGCCAUGGGCAGGUUGAAGGUUGGGUAACACUAACUGGAGGACCGAACCGACUAAUGUUGAAAAAUUAGCGGAUGACUUGUGGCUGGGGGUGAAAGGCCAAUCAAACCGGGAGAUAGCUGGUUCUCCCCGAAAGCUAUUUAGGUAGCGCCUCGUGAAUUCAUCUCCGGGGGUAGAGCACUGUUUCGGCAAGGGGGUCAUCCCGACUUACCAACCCGAUGCAAACUGCGAAUACCGGAGAAUGUUAUCACGGGAGACACACGGCGGGUGCUAACGUCCGUCGUGAAGAGGGAAACAACCCAGACCGCCAGCUAAGGUCCCAAAGUCAUGGUUAAGUGGGAAACGAUGUGGGAAGGCCCAGACAGCCAGGAUGUUGGCUUAGAAGCAGCCAUCAUUUAAAGAAAGCGUAAUAGCUCACUGGUCGAGUCGGCCUGCGCGGAAGAUGUAACGGGGCUAAACCAUGCACCGAAGCUGCGGCAGCGACGCUUAUGCGUUGUUGGGUAGGGGAGCGUUCUGUAAGCCUGCGAAGGUGUGCUGUGAGGCAUGCUGGAGGUAUCAGAAGUGCGAAUGCUGACAUAAGUAACGAUAAAGCGGGUGAAAAGCCCGCUCGCCGGAAGACCAAGGGUUCCUGUCCAACGUUAAUCGGGGCAGGGUGAGUCGACCCCUAAGGCGAGGCCGAAAGGCGUAGUCGAUGGGAAACAGGUUAAUAUUCCUGUACUUGGUGUUACUGCGAAGGGGGGACGGAGAAGGCUAUGUUGGCCGGGCGACGGUUGUCCCGGUUUAAGCGUGUAGGCUGGUUUUCCAGGCAAAUCCGGAAAAUCAAGGCUGAGGCGUGAUGACGAGGCACUACGGUGCUGAAGCAACAAAUGCCCUGCUUCCAGGAAAAGCCUCUAAGCAUCAGGUAACAUCAAAUCGUACCCCAAACCGACACAGGUGGUCAGGUAGAGAAUACCAAGGCGCUUGAGAGAACUCGGGUGAAGGAACUAGGCAAAAUGGUGCCGUAACUUCGGGAGAAGGCACGCUGAUAUGUAGGUGAGGUCCCUCGCGGAUGGAGCUGAAAUCAGUCGAAGAUACCAGCUGGCUGCAACUGUUUAUUAAAAACACAGCACUGUGCAAACACGAAAGUGGACGUAUACGGUGUGACGCCUGCCCGGUGCCGGAAGGUUAAUUGAUGGGGUUAGCGCAAGCGAAGCUCUUGAUCGAAGCCCCGGUAAACGGCGGCCGUAACUAUAACGGUCCUAAGGUAGCGAAAUUCCUUGUCGGGUAAGUUCCGACCUGCACGAAUGGCGUAAUGAUGGCCAGGCUGUCUCCACCCGAGACUCAGUGAAAUUGAACUCGCUGUGAAGAUGCAGUGUACCCGCGGCAAGACGGAAAGACCCCGUGAACCUUUACUAUAGCUUGACACUGAACAUUGAGCCUUGAUGUGUAGGAUAGGUGGGAGGCUUWGAAGUGUGGACGCCAGUCUGCAUGGAGCCGACCUUGAAAUACCACCCUUUAAUGUUUGAUGUUCUAACGUUGACCCGUAAUCCGGGUUGCRGACAGUGUCUGGUGGGUAGUUUGACUGGGGCGGUCUCCUCCUAAAGAGUAACGGAGGAGCACGAAGGUUGGCUAAUCCUGGUCGGACAUCAGGAGGUUAGUGCAAUGGCAUAAGCCAGCUUGACUGCGAGCGUGACGGCGCGAGCAGGUGCGAAAGCAGGUCAUAGUGAUCCGGUGGUUCUGAAUGGAAGGGCCAUCGCUCAACGGAUAAAAGGUACUCCGGGGAUAACAGGCUGAUACCGCCCAAGAGUUCAUAUCGACGGCGGUGUUUGGCACCUCGAUGUCGGCUCAUCACAUCCUGGGGCUGAAGUAGGUCCCAAGGGUAUGGCUGUUCGCCAUUUAAAGUGGUACGCGAGCUGGGUUUAGAACGUCGUGAGACAGUUCGGUCCCUAUCUGCCGUGGGCGCUGGAGAACUGAGGGGGGCUGCUCCUAGUACGAGAGGACCGGAGUGGACGCAUCACUGGUGUUCGGGUUGUCAUGCCAAUGGCACUGCCCGGUAGCUAAAUGCGGAAGAGAUAAGUGCUGAAAGCAUCUAAGCACGAAACUUGCCCCGAGAUGAGUUCU
rnacentral:rRNA from 1 species